rnacentral:lncRNA from 1 species
GGAGAACAGCACCAUGAUUUCUGUGGUUCCUCAUGCACAACCCCUGUCUCUAGCCUUCCACAAGGCGUUGGACUAUGUGUGCAUCUUGUUUGGAGGAGUUCAGGCUGAGAAAGGAUCAGCAUGGAUAUUUCCCUUUAUUGAUUUGUGCUCAUGUUCACACGUGCAGGGAAAUUCUUUCUGUGCAAGCAAGCUGAACUAAUAGAACCAGCGGAGUGAGCAGCUCUGAACAGCUUCUUAUUAUCAUCUGUCUCUUCUUCAAUGCAUUCUGGUGUGCCACACAUUUAGCCCUGUCUGCUGGAGAAGUAAAAAAGGUCAAAUGAAGUGAAACGAUGAAUAUUAACUCAAGAAAUAUGAAUUGUUUUUAAUUUCCUGUGGAAAAGCUUCAGACAUCUAACUUCAAGACAGAAGAAAAUGCAUCGUGUGUUAAUCAGGCAGAACAAGGAAUAGGAAAAUAGGAGCCUGGAUGCAAACAUUUCACAAAUCUCAGUGAUGUGGAGAAAACACAGAAACCUGCCAAGUUCACCCUGUGGUGACUUUGUAGAGGAGGAUGAGCCCUGCCCACCUUUGCUCUUCACAGCAGUGGUUCAGUCAAGCAGUUGGAGCCCUGACAACCCAGUGCUCCUAGCAAGGGUGUUUAUGCAGCUCCACAAAUCCCAUGGCUGUGCUGUCACAGUGCCCAGUGACACCCUGGAUGUGCUCUCCUGCCCUGUGCUCCACUGCUGAAUCGCCAUCACCUUCCCUCACUCACGGAGGGUAAAACAGGGCAAUGCUCCCAAGCUUGAGGGGAGGUAAUAUAAUAACUUCUUAAGGUAGAGGCUGAAAGAGAGCUCUUUC